rnacentral:lncRNA from 1 species
AAUUAAAAGAGGGACUAACACAAACGUUUCCCUCAUGUGUAGGAUUAAAACAGGGUUGUAUAUUAAGCCCUACAUUAUUUUCAUUGUAUAUAAAUGAACUGGUUGAAAUGUUUGACCACAAAUGUGAUCCGGCAUGCCUUGAUAAUAAACAAGUGUCUUGUCUUCUCUAUGCAGAUGAUUUAGUAGUAAUAUCAGAAUCUGCAUCUGGCCUACAAAAUGCUUUAGAUAAAUUAAAUAUAUUUUGUGAAAAAUGGAAUCUAUCUGUUAAUCUUAAUAAAACCAAAAUUAUAAUAUUCAAUAAAGCAGGGAAAAUUAUUAAAAAGCACAAAUUCUAUUAUAAUGGAAAAUUACUAGAGUUAACUGAUGAAUACAAGUAUCUAGGUAUAAUUUUUAAACCAUCUGGAUCUUUUACUACAGCAAUUGAUCAGUUAUGUAAAAAGGCUAGCAAAGCUAUAUUUUGUAUUAGAAAACUAUUAUUUUCUGAAAAGAUGAAUUUACUACCAC